rnacentral:lncRNA from 1 species
CACACUGGACUCGCCCUGCGUUGGGUUGCGCUCUCUUGCGCUGGGCUGCGCUCUCUUGCACUGGGCCAGGCUGUGCCACCACUGGCCUCCGCCGGCCCACUGUUGGCCUCCACCACCUCAUGGAUUGUGCCACCUUCUCCAAGCUUCUCUCGAGUGUAUCUUCUCCAUCUAGACUCCAUUUGAACUGAUCUUGGACUCAUUGAACUUCAUUCAUUAUCUUGGACCUCACUGUAGGCUCAGUAU